AUUGAACGCUGGCGGCAGGCCUAACACAUGCAAGUCGAGCGGUAGAGCGAAGCUUGCUUCUCUUGAGAGCGGCGGACGGGUGAGUAAUGCCUAGGAAUCUGCCUGGUAGUGGGGGAUAACGUUCGGAAACGGACGCUAAUACCGCAUACGUCCUACGGGAGAAAGCAGGGGACCUUUGGGCCUUGCGCUAUCAGAUGAGCCUAGGUCGGAUUAGCUAGUUGGUGGGGUAAUGGCUCACCAAGGCGACGAUCCGUAACUGGUCUGAGAGGAUGAUCAGUCACACUGGAACUGAGACACGGUCCAGACUCCUACGGGAGGCAGCAGUGGGGAAUAUUGGACAAUGGGCGAAAGCCUGAUCCAGCCAUGCCGCGUGUGUGAAGAAGGUCUUCGGAUUGUAAAGCACUUUAAGUUGGGAGGAAGGGCAGUUGCCUAAUACGUAACUGUUUUGACGUUACCGACAGAAUAAGCACCGGCUAACUCUGUG
rnacentral:rRNA from 1 species